rnacentral:lncRNA from 1 species
AUGCCCCACCAGACCCUUAGUCAGACCAAGAAGAAUCCGAGUUUGAUAUCCUGCUUCAUAUUUAUUGGAGCUGGGAGUACUGGAGCAGCAUGGUAUGUCUUGUGUCUGGCAUCUUUCAGUCCAGAUGUUAGUUGGGCCAGAAACAAUAACCCAGAACCCUGGAACAAACUGAGUCCCAAUGAUCAAUACAAGUCCUACUCAGUGAAUGUAGAUUACAGCAAACUGAAGAAAGAAGGCCCAGAUUUCUAAA